GAUGAACGCUGGCGGCGUGCCUAAUACAUGCAAGUCGAGCGAACGGACGAGAAGCUUGCUUCUCUGAUGUUAGCGGCGGACGGGUAAGUAACACGUGUAUAACCUACCUAUAAGACUGGGAUAACUUCGGGAAACCGGAGCUAAUACCGGAUAAUAUUUUGAACCGCAUGGUUCAAAAGUGAAAGACGGUCUUGCUGUCACUUAUAGAUGGAUCCGCGCUGCAUUAGCUAGUUGGUAAGGUAACGGCUUACCAAGGCAACGAUGCAUAGCCGACCUGAGAGGGUGAUCGGCCACACUGGAACUGAAACACGGUCAAGACUCCUACGGGAGGCAGCAGUAGGGAAUCUGCCGCAAUAGGCGAGAGCAUGACGGAGCAACGCCGCGUGAGUGAUGAAGGUCUUCGGAUCGUAAAACUCUGUUAUUAGGGAAGAACAUAUGUGUAAGUAACUGUGCACAUCUUGACGGUACCUAAUCAGAAAGCCACGGCUAACUACGUG
rnacentral:rRNA from 1 species